CACGAUUUCGGUUUACACCGUUUUCAUCCUAUGUUUAUACGUACCACAUGUUUCCUCGGGGGGGCUUGCCCCCCCGUUAGGACACCCCUUAAACCUUUUUGUAAUAGCAGUUAGCGUCUGAAAAACUAAGUUAAUUAUUA
rnacentral:misc_RNA from 1 species